rnacentral:lncRNA from 1 species
UUUAAUCUCUAACUGAGCAAGAAAUCACUUAGGACAAAUUACCAAGGACUGCUUGCAUUCAGAUUCUACUUAAACACCUUUUUAUUUCUUAGGGAGGCCUAUUCCGUUCUUGGACAUUUCUAGUUACCAGCAGUUGAGCCCUCUCCAGCUAUCUAGAACAAGUUUACUCAUUGUCUUGCAUGACAAUCCUACAAUUAUUUAAAGAUAGCAAUCUUGUUCACCUUAAGUAUUCUUUUCUCCAGGCUAAAUAUUCCCAGUUCUUUCAACUAGACCUCAUAGGAUGUUGUUUUCAUUUUUAUUUUAUUAAUUUCCCAGGGAUCAGAUUGUUCAUGUCUGAAAUUUACUCCAGGCUGAGUUUUUUUUAAUAACUCCUCAAAAAUAAAUUGCUUAUUACCAUUUACUUUCCAGAAGACAGCCUCUUACCAACUGGCUUAGAAACGUUUUACAGAAAAGGACUAGCCAUGCUUGCUGAGACUUUUUAUGUAGUAUAACUAGAACAGAGUUGGAAUGUAUAAUAAUGUAAUGCAAAUUGAUUUUAACAAAUAUAAUUCUUGAGAUUCUGGUAUGUGCAAGAUAUAUGGGAAUAUGAAGUAGAGUAUAAAUAUAGAUAGAAUAUAAAUGUAAGUAGAACAUAAAAUAUAAAGAAGAGUCACUAUUCUCAUCAUCAGGACUUUAUAAUCUACCAUACUGAGGAAAAGAAUGAUGUAAGUGAAGCGGUAAUUAAAAGAAGCAGGUUAAGUACCAUGAGAGAGGCACACGUGAAGUACUGAGAAGGCGCAACAUCAACCCUGGCCGAGGACUCAGGAGAUAGCAAAAGGAAAUGCUUUACCUGGGCACACACACCAAUAUGGGAAAGUGUCAAGAGUAUUUUCAGAGAAGCAUUUCAUUUGAGGGAAGCAUAAAAUAUGUAUUAAGUAAAUGUUGGUGAGAAAGUUAGGAAGAUAGGGAUAUAUGGUCUAAGGACUCAUAUUCCAGCUUAAGGGGUUUGGACUUAAAACGAUAGAUAAUGGUAGAUGUAAUUUACCCCAUUGAGAAUUUGGUCCCUGAAUUGAACAGUUCUGUAACUACAUACACAAUUUAAUGAAAUGAAACGAACAGAUAAAAGAUAAGUAUGUGAAAAUUUCUAUGCAGAAAAUUCAACUGCAUUUAUAAGUAGCAAGGAGUAUAUGUAUUUUGCAUAGAAGACAUGUUUGCUUUGAAUUGGCAUAUUAUUUUUAUAUACUGUCUGUGUCCUAGAAAGCCAGCAAUCUCAAGGAUAGUGACUUUAAUCAUGAAGCUAAAGUAAGUGUAUUGCUGAUGGAUGUAUUGUUAUAUUCACACCUGUGCCAGUUACACAUACCUUUUCUACCUCCUACUUUUUGGCAAUAUAAAUGACAUGCCAUACUGAUACUAGGCUGAGCUCAAAUGAUUGUCAUUUUAGUAUAAAUUAACCUUUUCGUCAAUUUAUAUUUUUCUGUUGAUUAAAAAUGGGGAUACAGAAUAUUUGGAAGUAGUUUAAACGCAUACAAUAAAG